rnacentral:tRNA from 1 species
GAGCAACGGAGCCAAGCGGAACCAAGCGGGACUGAGUGGCACGUGACUUUUAAUCUCGUGGCCGUGGGUUCGAGUCCCACCCGGCUCACCA